rnacentral:rRNA from 15 species
GUCGAAGAAGAACACAGCAGAUGGUGGGAUGUCAAUGCCCUGGCGCAUGUACCAGUCAACCACUCCCUUAACGCAUUUUGCCUUCUGGUC